UACGUAGGGGGCAAGCGUUGUCCGGAAUUAUUGGGCGUAAAGCGCGCGCAGGCGGCCAUUUAAGUCUCAUGUUUAACCCCAAGGCUCAACCUUGGGUCGCAUGGGAAACUGGGUGGCUUGAGUGUAGGAGAGGAAAGUGGAAUUCCACGUGUAGCGGUGAAAUGCGUAGAGAUGUGGAGGAACACCAGUGGCGAAGGCGACUCUCUGGUCUGUAACUGACGCUGAGGCGCGAAAGCGUGGGGAGCGAACAGG
rnacentral:misc_RNA from 1 species